UACGAAGGUGGCAAGCGUUGUUCGGAUUUACUGGGCGUACAGGGAGCGUAGGCGGUUGGAUAAGCCCUCCGUGAAAAUCUCCAGGCUUAACCUGGAAAGUGCAGAGGGGACUGUUCAGCUAGAGGAUGGGAGAGGAGCGCGGAAUUCCCGGUGUAGCGGUGAAAUGCGUAGAUAUCAAGAGGAACACCUGAGGUGAAGACGGGUUGCUGGGCUGACACUGACGCUGAGGCGCGAAAGCUAGGGGAGCAAACGGG
rnacentral:rRNA from 1 species